rfam:Desulfosporosinus meridiei DSM 13257, complete genome.
AAUCAAAUAUUUCGAGCAAAUGAUUUUUCUUUGCUGAAAAAUCAAAAAACAGGGAAGCCGGUGUGAUUCCGGCGCGGUCCCGCCACUGUAACGGGGAGUUCUUUGCCAUAUCCACUGAGGAAACUUGGGAAGGAGGCAUAGAACGAGGAACCUUAGCCAGGAGACCUGAUUGCUUGAAUGCUUUAAC